rnacentral:rRNA from 1 species
UACAGAGGACUCAAGCGUUGUUCGGAUUCAUUGGGCGUAAAGGGUGCGUAGGUGGCGCUGUAAGUCGGGUGUGAAAUUUCGGAGCUUAACUCCGAAACUGCAUUCGAUACUGCGGUGCUUGAGGACUGGAGAGGAGACUGGAAUUCAUGGUGUAGCAGUGAAAUGCGUAGAGAUCAUGAGGAAGACCAGUGGCGAAGGCGGGUCUCUGGACAGUUCCUGACACUGAGGCACGAAGGCCAGGGGAGCAAACGGG